UCAUUGGAGAGUUUGAUCCUGGCUCAGAACGAACGCUGGCGGCGUGGAUUAGGCAUGCAAGUCGAGCGAUCCUUCGGGAUAGCGGCAAAAGGGUGAGUAACGCGUGGGUAAUCUACCCUUAAGAAGGGGAUAACAUCGAGAAAUCGAUGCUAAUACUCUAUGAGACCACUAACACACAAGUGUAAGAGGUAAAAGGUGGCGGACGCGAAAGCGGCUACCACUUAGGGAGGAACCCGCGUCCUAUUAGCUAGUUGGUGAGGUAACGGCCCACCAAGGCGAAGAUGGGUAGCUGGUCUGAGAGGAUGGUCAGCCACACUGGGACUGAGACACUGCCCAGACUCCUACGGGAGGCUGCAGUCGAGAAUCUUUUGCAAUGGGCGAAAGCCUGACAAUGCGACGCCGCGUGAGCGAUGAAGGCCUUCGGGU
rnacentral:rRNA from 1 species